GUGCUUACCGGGCAGAGGAAAUACCAUGAUCACAGGUUGGUUUUCCCAGGGUGAGGCUUAUCCAAUGUCCUCUGGACCUACUGACCCCAGCAAUCUACCCACUGUGAGAAAGUAACCGCAUGGUUUAUGGUGGAGGACUGUAUUUAUAUUUUCACCUA
ensembl:snRNA Gm25721 U1 spliceosomal RNA